GAUGGCUUCCCGAAACGCACGAAAAUGAGGAUCCUACAGAGAGUAUCUUCGAGAUACAAGCAAAAUAACUUGUUUGAUGAAGCGGCAGACCCAAGGCCUUAUUGCUGACGAAUCGGAAAGUAGGCCUAGUGUUGAAGCAGAGGCUUCUAUCACAACUGUGGAAGAUGACAUAACAGCAAAUGAUGAGUGUGGGGAGGGUUUACAGUCUGAAGCUUUGAACUUUGCUGUUGACGAUGUGAUCGCCCUUCACAUGUGGACAAUGAGGAUAGCUGCCUGUCUGAUGGUUACAGCAUAACUUUUGAUGAUGACAUCAAUGAAGACAGCCUAGGCAGUGAUCGAAACAGUCAAAUAUUAGAUCGAAGUACAGAGAGGGAGACUGACAUCUUAUUUCAGUGUGAUGAUAAAUAUGAGGAAGGGACUGCAUAUGACAGGGUAGACACUGGCACUGGUUCAUUUUCAUGUGAUGAACCCAGUCUUGCUGGUGACGAGGAUCUCUUGUUUCCUGGCUGUCCUCUAACAAAAAGGAGCAGCUCAGUUUUAAUAAUGUUGUUCAUUUUGCAGCAUAAACUGUCUGCUCAAGCUUGUAAAGACCUAAUACAGCUUAUUUCAGCUCACUCUCCAUUAAGUUACCAUGCUAUGACCUCGUUGUACUGCCUGAAAUCAUAUCUUAAUAAAGCCUGUGCUCGUAUGAAACCAAUGAAAGCAUUUGUAUGUCCCAACUGUGAAGACUUAAUUGCAAACAGUGCAGAGCAAUGCAACAGAGAGCAAUGUCAAGAAGCAACUGCAAAACCAGAUGAAUUUUUGUUUUUUCUUGAUGUGAAAAAUGCAAUAUCUCGACUGUUUAAAGACUGAAUUUUGUUCGCAAGUUUCUGCUAGUUUUGAGAAAAGAAAUAAUGCUGAUAGGUCUGAUAUAACAAGCGGCAAAAGAUACAGGAAUAUGACUACUGGAUUAUUACCGAAAUGGAAUAUCACACUGACUUUGAACACGAAUGGUGUAUCUGUUUUUAGAACUUCAUGAACUGGGUCUCUUUGGCCUGUGUAUCUUACAAUUAAUGUAAUUCCUCCUGAAUGCAGAUUUUUACUCAAGUAUGCCAUUGUCUGUGAUCUUUGGUUUCAUUCAUCGAAACCGCCUAUACAAGCAUUUCUACAACCUCUGAUGAGUCAGCUGAAGGAACUGUCCACAAAUGGAGAAACUUUCAAGACAGCUGAAGGAUUGCAGCACUGCAAAGUUAAUCUAAUUUUCAUUACUUGUGAUUUACCAGCCAGGGCAAUGGUCCUUUGCAUGAAGCAGCACAAUGGACAGUAUGCCUGUCCUUGUUGUUAUAAUCCAGGCGUUACUAUUGGCAGUGAUCACCUUCAUCAAUAUUGGCCAAUUAAACGCGAUGCUAUUGCCAGAACCCAUGCCAGUGUCGUUAGUGAUGUGACGGAGGCUGUAGAUCUAUGACAUCCAGUCAAGGGAAUGCUGAAUGUAGCAUCUCCACUCUUAGCAUUACCGGGAUUUGACGUAGUAGAGGGAACAGCUAUUGACUGGAUGCACGUAGUUUGCUCGGGUAUACUCAAUCACUGCUUGACAGGUGGCUGCCUUUUUCCGAUGAAAUGUACUUUAUUGGUGAUAAGGCAAAUACCUACAUUUAUGUGUAUACCUACUGUAAACUUUGCCAUGUAAGAGUCUUAAUUUUGUGCAGGUAGCUUUCCUCGAUAAGCGUCUCCUUUCAAUGAAAGCACCUGACCACUUUAGUCUAAUUCCACAUACGCUGAAAGAGUUUUCCACAUGGAAGGCUAGUGAAUAUAGAUCAUGGCUGUUUUACUGGUCUCUUCCAGUGCUUAGAGGAAUUCUGCCAAGAGAGUACUAUAUCCAUUACAGCUUACUUGUUGUUGGAUGUCGUCUUUUUUGUGGAAUGAAGAUAUCUUCCAAUGAUAAUGAUAGAGCACGACAACUUUUGGUGAAGUUUUAUGAAAGGCAUGAACUGCUUUAUGGUAUGUACUCUGUUGAAAUACCUUUGCAUAUACAUUCAAAGUAAAGGAACUCAGUUUGAAUGCAUGUUCGUUUGUGCCCUAAAGUUUUUGCAGAUGUUGCAUGCAUUGUGAACUUUGCAGGGUUUUUACCACACCAUUUCAGCAAGGCAUGCCACCUUGUUUGCCCAGGAUCUAUUUCAAUGCUACUGCCUAUUCUUGAUUAGAUUAGACUGCAAAUGUUUGCAAUAUCUCUGUUGUCUUUUAGACGUUUGAUAUCGGUUUUAGGAACUACACAGCCAAGUUUUUGUCUAUUGGGUUAUCUACUAGAUGCUUUUAAUGUAAGGCAAUGAAUAUAGGAAUAGUUAUUCCUAUCAAAAGACACUCAAUCUACGAUUAAGUUUAUCAAGAGACUAAUGGAUGCCUUUUGUAACUCAUUAUAUAACUAAACUAUUUAUUUUAUUUUAUUGUACGACAUGGUUAUUACAUACUAUGUAGCUGCUCUUACUGACAGCACACCUGCCACGUUUUGCCAUUAGAUAAUCACGUACAAUUGUCGACUUGUGGAGACUAUACUAGAGUAUACAAUUUACCAAUUUACAACAUCUGGUAUAUGAAUACUGUUAAUCUCAUUUGAUUAUAAUGUGUUAUACUCAUUGAUUCGAUAGAAUUUUGGCAUUACAAAAAUAAAGUAUUUAUUCAAAUAUUCUUGAACUAUUAUGUGGUAUUUAUUUUUCUUUCAAUUGUUACGGGAUUACAAUGGCCAAAGUAGGUGUUUGUUUUGAGCAUGAGAGAUCAUAGCAAGAACUCUUUGCAAUGCUAACACAGGUGAUUAAAUUUAGUGCAAGGUAAAUGAUCAGAACCUUGCAUGUAAUUACUGUUGUGGCAGUAACUUUAUGCAGUGAGUACUCCAGAAGUGUUAGAUAUACAUACAAGGCUUUUUAGUUGCUGGUAAACAGAAACUCUAAAACAAGAACAACCAUUUGUAUUAUUGCUAAUUAAAUAAGUCGUUUUAGUUUAGUUUCUUGUUGACUCAAAUGUUAUUUGGAGAAAUAUAUGGUAUGUCUUGUAUCUAAGAUAACUAACUAAUUAAUGAAUGAACGAAAAUUUAUUUAAGCAUAUGUUGUGUAUAAUUAAUUUAAAAAAUUUGGAAAGAAGCUACUGAAAGUUUUGUUUGAUAACGUGUUGAUGUUCUAUUAGGUGGCAGCUUCUACUGUAGGUACACUGUACACACCUGGUACACAGUAACUGAAUUUGUGUAUUUAUGUGAUUACUUAUGUAUAGUGGAAGGAAUGGUAUAUCCAAACAGUGGACGCUAUAAGUUUGUAAUGCGUAACCUUGGUUGGCUGUUAUAGCAUCAUGUAUCAAACAAUGUAUGCGUAUAUAGGUACAACAUUUUGCACUAUAAAGAUGCAUAUCUUGCAGCAUCUUUCAGAGUUUGUGGAGAUCGAGAUCUGGACCAUUAUGGCGCUUUCUUGUUUUUUUUGAAAAAUUUAAAUGGAGUACUAAAAAUUUGCGCAUGAGACAAGAUUCAUGUCUAACCAGAUUACAACUGCAGUAUCAUUUUCCUUCUGUAGAAGAGGAUGUGCUUUCACCUGAAGCUGUAGCAUUGAUUCAAAAAUACGUCAUUUUUCACACUGCUGGAAAAUGUUACAGUACUUUUUGUGGUCAUCCAAAAGAAGCUUUUCUUGAUGACAAGUACAUCGUUGCUAUCAACAAGCUACUUCAAAGUGAGGGGAAUUACCCAAUUGAUGGCAGAAGUCUUGUCACUAUACAUAGAAAGUUAUAUGUGAAUGGUAUCAUGGUGCACAGUCGAUAUAUAUACCCAGAAGUCUAAAGAAUUUCAUAUACUGUGGAGUUUCACGAUGGAGUAUGCAGUUAUUCAAAAGUUGGGACUAGAAGAAUUGCCAAGAUGUGUGCCUCAAGAAAACGAUCUUUCAGAUAUUGUUUCUACAUUUGGAGACUUACACGAGGUUUUGGGUGAACACUGUAUUCCUGUUUCUGAAACUGAUAAUCUGGUAGCAGUUUCAGUAGACAGCAUUGUUGCUCAAGUAGUUUGCAUAGAGAUGCAUAGUUCUUCUGUUUGUAUUUGGCACAUUUAACAAAUACAGUUGAAUGUGAUUAGAAUGAUAUGGAUUUUCAUCUGAUAGUAUGGAUUUUCGUAUGAUAGUAUAGAAUAUAUGUGAAA